rnacentral:tRNA from 2 species
AGAGCGGUAUUUCUCGAAGAAUAUAUGACUUGCAUUCAUAAGGCGCAGGUUAAUCUGCCUGCUUUA